AUCGUGCGACGCGCUGGCCGCCUCCACGGCAGCAGCCGUCGCCAGGAAACGGAUGGAGGCAAAUUCGGCGCGGAUGAGCGGACGUAGCGCACGGAACGUGUUCGAAAGCGUGUGAUGCAGCACUUAGCAGAGGGUCGACGCAAUAGCAUUAUCAGCGGCCAAGUUUCCUCGUAAGCUUUCCUAGACUGACACCAUGCCCUCGAAGAUGAGCAGCAGCACGGCGGUCAGCAGGA